CAGCAGCUAGCUUGGUCACCUGCCCCUUUCUCCCCCUCUUCCCCCAGCUCGCUGACAGGACACAGGUGUUCCAGGCGGCUGCACACUGGGCCCCGAGGACCCAGACCCCACAUAUCCCGGCUGGCCUAGCAGUGAGCUGGGAGCCUCGCGGGUUCCACAUGACUGUGGAGUUGUUAGGGGCAGACAUCGAGUAGUGGGGACUAGCUAUAGUUGUAAGAAGUAUGAAUCAUGCUCUGUUAGUGGUGAUUGUUCUGUUCUGAUUAGAGGAAGCACAUGCUGACCUGGCUGAGACUUGUACACCCAGGACAUGGGAGUUAACCUGGGAAUGCAGCCCAUUCUCCUUUUUUAAGAACUGAUUCACCACCUUGUUGUUGAAAUAAUCCAGUUCUGAGACGCCCGUCCUUACCAGUUCCCAGCCUGCACUGCCUGUAGCCUGCACCAUUCCCCUGGCCUGCUCCCCCUGCGUGUCACUCCUACUUCCCAUGUAAUCUCUGUCCUUCUACCCAGGAUCAGCAGCUGGUUUAUGCGGAAGAGCGGAUUUUCAUGGAUGACCUGCUGCUCUCCCUCACUGCCGGCCUUAUUGGAAUAAACUCGCAUAUAUGACUCAACCCUGUCUCUGCUGACCUGGCUCAAGUAGUGACAGGCAGCCCGGACCCAUUGGUUGUCUGGCUUCAGAGUCAUCGCCCAGCUCUGCAGCUAACACCUGGCCUUUCCUGUUGGAGGUAACCGACGACCCAGGGCGGCUGGGCUGCAUGGAGACAACGCUCCCGCUGGCCUGGAGGGUUCCUGCACCACCUGAGCUGGGCAGAGUGCAGGCGGAGGAGAGAUUCUGAGCCGACCCCUUUGCCUGCUUCGAUGACCCAGUCAGUCAAGAGUGUGGUCCACACCCGUGCCUCCCUGCUUGCGAGGAGACGGAAGGAAGCCGCAAUGGCUUCCUGACGUUCCUUCCUGUGUUGGGGGAGCCCACCCCGGCGUCCCCCUGGCCUCCACACAUGGACUGUUAGACUUUAAUUAGCUUGGACACUGAACUACUCCCCCCGUCACAUGGAAAGGAGGCUCCAGGCACCGGCCUGCACUUGGAACCCCAGCUACCCCUUCUCCAGGACUGGCUUCUCCCAGUAAACUUUGGUUCCAUUAAUUGGGGGUGGGGUUGGGGGGUUGGAAGGCUCCGGGUGG